GAAUCUUAAUAACUCCCACCAAUCUUUUUAGCUAAAUUUUCACUUUGUUUUCUUAUAAAUUUUUAAUCUUGAUAACUCCCACCAAUCUUUUUAGCUAAAUUUUCACUUUGUUUUCUUAUAAAUUUUUAAUCUUGAUAACUUCCCACCAACCCCUUUUAGCUAAAUUUUGAUUGUGUUUUCUAAUAAAGCUUUAAUCUUGAUGAAUUAAUGCUGAAGUUAUCAACUUUUAUUGAGGCCACCUUGUUUAAUGGCCUCUUUGAAAUUAUCCCUUUAUGUAGACAGUUCAUGGGAAUCCAAGAAACUUAAUUGCACAGUGAAAGGUUUGAACUUUACUGAUUCUAAGUGUUGGUUUCCUUCUAUUUUGGGUAGUGGUGCAUUUGUUGUUAGUCCAUUUUGUAAGUUGAAACACAUUAGAGUUUCAAGAUUAGAAACUGAGGAAUUAGAGAGUUCUGAAUUGAGUUUAAGUGGUGAUGGGGUUGAUGGUUUUGAGGGUAAUUUGGGAAAUGAAAGUUUUGUUUCUGAAAGACCAAAUCUUGGAAGAGAGAAAGGGAGGUUUAAUGUUUGGAAAAGAUUUAGGAGAGUGAAGAGAGUGUCGAAAGACUCGAAUUAUAGGUCUAGUUUUAGAAAAGAUAGGAAAAAUGGGAUGGAAGAUAAAAUGAAGAUUGUGUUGGAUGAAAAUAGUGAUGAGAAUGUGAUAGAUAGCGAAAAUGGGGUUGAUUUUCGGGCUGAGAAUUUGAGGCCCGACUCGAGUUUGGAUCAAUGCAAUGCAAUAUUGAAACAACUCGAAAGGGGUGAUGAUGAUGGGGAAGCGUUGAGUUUUUUCGGAUGGAUGAGGAAAAAUGGGAAGUUAAAGCGAAAUGUUACUGCCUAUAAUUUGAUACUCCGCAUCUUGGGGAGAAGAGGGGAUUGGGAUGGGGCGGAGAAAAUGAUUAAAGAAAUGAGUUUUGAGUCGGAUUGUGAGCUUACGUAUCAGGUUUUCAAUACGCUUAUUUAUGCUUGCCAUAAAAAAGGGCUCGUGGAGUUGGGUGCUAAGUGGUUUAACAUGAUGUUGGAGAAUAAAGUUCAGCCAAAUAUAGCUACUUUUGGAAUGCUGAUGGCUCUUUAUCAGAAAGGAUGGAAUGUUGAGGAAGCAGAGUUUACGUUUUCAAAGAUGAGGAAUCUUAAAAUUAUGUGCCAGUCAGCGUAUUCGUCUAUGUUGACGAUAUAUACACGAAUGAGAUUGUAUGAUAAAGCGGAAGAAAUCAUUGGCUUUUUGAGGGAAGAUGAAGUAAUUCUGAAUCUUGAGAAUUGGUUGGUUCUGCUUAAUGCUUAUUGUCAACAAGGCAAGUUACUCGAGGCUGAGCAGGUCUUAGCUUCCAUGAAGCAAUCCGGUUUCAUAAAUAUAGUUGCAUACAACACGUUGAUCACCGGAUACGGGAAGAUUUCCGAUAUGCGUGCUGCACAAAGCUUGUUUGGUGACCUUAAAAGGGUUGGAGUGGAACCUGAUGAAACAACUUACAGGUCUAUGAUUGAAGGGUGGGGUCGUGCGGACAAUUAUGAUGAAGCAAGGAAAUACUAUGUGGAACUGAAAAGGCUUGGCCACAAACCAAACUCGUCUAACUUGUACACAUUGCUAAAUUUACAAGUCAAGCAUGGAGAUGAAGAGGAUGUUGUUAGAACUAUUGAGGAAAUGAUGCAAACCGGGAGUGAAAAGUCGACCAUCCUCGGCAUUCUUUUGCAAGCAUAUGAGAAGCUUGAACUCAUUCACAAAGUUCCUUCAAUUUUAAGAGGUUCUUUAUAUGAUCAUGUUUUGAGAAACCAAAUAUCUUGUUCAAGUCUAGUAAUGGCUUAUGUGAAAAACAGCAUGAUAGAUGAUGCGCUACAAGUUUUACGGGAAAAAAAGUGGAAGGAUGCUUUAUUUGAGGACAACUUGUACCAUUUGUUAAUUUGCUCGUGCAAAGAUAUCGGACAUCCGGAGAAUGCAGUGAAAGUAUUCACGUGUGUGCCGAAAUCUGAUAAGCCUAACUUACAUAUAAUAUGCACUAUGAUAGACAUUUACAGUUCAAACAACGAGUUUGUUGAAGCUGAAAAGCUUUAUCUAAUGUUGGAGAAUUCAAAUGUCAAACUGGACAUGAUAACUUUCAGUGUUGUGGUAAGGAUGUACGUGAAAUUCGGAGCUUUAGAAGAAGCCUGCUCUGUUUUGGAAGCAAUGGAAAAACAAAAAGACAUUGUUCCGGACACAUAUUUGCUCCGUGAUAUGCUCCGAAUCUACCAGCGAUGUGAGAAGAAGGACAAAUUGGCGGAUCUUUAUUACAAACUCGUGAAAAUAGGAGUCGUGUGGGACCAGGAAAUGUACAGCUGUGUCAUAAACUGUUGUGCCCGUGCACUGCCCGUUGAUGAGCUUUCUAGGCUUUUUGACGAGAUGCUUAAACAUGGGUUUUUACCUAAUACCGUCACGUUCAAUGUUAUGCUUGACGUAUAUGGAAAGUCCAGGCUCUUCAAAAGGGCAAGAGAAGUUUUUUCGAUGGCUAAGAAGCGUGGUUUGGCUGAUGUUAUCUCUUACAAUACUCUCAUAGCUGCGUAUGGGAGAAGUAAAGACUUCAAGAACAUGUCGUCAACCGUCAAAAAGAUGCACUUCAACGGCUUUUCGGUUUCUCUUGAAGCCUAUAAUUGUAUGUUAGAUGCCUAUGGGAAAGAUGGACAAAUGGAGAAAUUCCGUAAUAUCUUGGAAAGACUGAAGGAAUCUCGUCAUUCUUCUGAUAAUUACACGUACAACAUUAUGAUAAACAUUUAUGGUGAGCUUGGUUGGAUUGAAGAAGUUGCAGAUGUUCUGGCAGAAUUGAAAGAAUCAGGAACUGGACCUGAUUUGUGCAGCUAUAACACAUUAAUAAAGGCAUACGGAAUUGCUGGUAUGGUUGAAAAUGCAGUAGAUUUGGUUAAGGAAAUGCGCAAGAAUGGAAUUGAACCUGAUCGAGUAACCUAUGCUAACCUAAUCAAUGCAUUACGGAAGAAUGAUAUGUUUCUCGAGGCUGUUAAGUGGUCUUUAUGGAUGAAGCAGAUUGGAUUAUAAGAUCCAUUCUGGCAAAUAUUGCUGUUAUUCAUCGUGUACCAUUCAUCUCCGGUUUAAAGGUCAAGGCUUGUAUUCUUCUUGUAUAGUUUGACACAAAACUUUCCAGCGGGGACUUUACUGAGUAAGCCAGAGCACGCAUGUCACAGCAGGUCUAUAGAAGAUCACAUAUAUGCCAGUCGUCUACUUGCGCACCCAAGUUUGUGUAAAGUAAUUCAUAGACAACUAUGGUUUGAUUGUCCAUAAUGCACCGGGUAGUGUAUAGUCGUAACUCUUUCAAUAAGGAAGAGAGCGUACUGUGAUAGCUUUAUUGAUCAUCUGUAUAUCCAGGAAGUUGUCUCACUGUUGUAAAAAAUCAACAUGGUAAAGGCUCUAAGCCUUUUAGAAUGUUUUAGCUACUCUGUGGCUGAGCCCUUUUUAGUAUAGUUUCAAUAAAA